rnacentral:misc_RNA from 1 species
UAUAAGUUUAUCAACGCUUUUUAGGGCGAGGACAUAGAUUACAUUCUGAUAGACUGAGUUUAUGAUGAAGACGUAGGGGCCUUUUUACGGGCCCUUACAUUGAGUUCACAGGUGUGUAUGGAUUAAGGGCUCGGGCGUGCACGUGCCCCGGAAGGCCAGCUACAACCCUCACCUAUAAUUCGAUAAUGAUCCUUCCGCAGGUUCACCUACGGAAA